AAUCAACGCUGGCGGCGUGCCUAACACAUGCAAGUCGAACGAGAAAGUGGAGCAAUCCAUGAGUACAGUGGCGUACGGGUGAGUAACACGUGACUAACCUACCCUCGAGUGGGGAAUAACCUCGGGAAACCGGGGCUAAUACCGCAUAACAUCUACGGAUCAAAUGCGUAAGCAGCUUGAGGAGGGGGUCGCGGCUGAUUAGCUAGUUGGCGGGGUAAUGGCCCACCAAGGCGGUGAUCAGUAGCCGGCCUGAGAGGGCGCACGGCCACACUGGAACUGAAAGACGGUCCAGACUCCUACGGGAGGCAGCAGUGGGGAAUUUUGCGCAAUGGGGGAAACCCUGACGCAGCAACGCCGCGUGGAGGAUGAAGCCCCUUGGGGUGUAAACUCCUUUCGAUCGGGACGAUUAUGACGGUACCGGAUGAAGAAGCACCGGCUAACUCUGUGCCAGCCGCCGCGGUAAGAC
rnacentral:rRNA from 1 species